rnacentral:rRNA from 1 species
AACGAACGCCGGCGGCAUGCCUAACACAUGCAAGUCGAACGAGACCUUCGGGUCUAGUGGCGCACGGGUGCGUAACGCGUGGGAACCUGCCCUUAGGUUCGGAAUAACUCCCCGAAAGGGGUGCUGAUACCGGAUAAUGUCUUCGGACCAAAGAUUUAUCGCCUUUGGAUGGGCCCGCGUUGGAUUAGCUAGUUGGUAGGGUAAAAGCCUACCAAGGCGACGAUCCAUAGCUGGUCUGAGAGGAUGAUCAGCCACACUGGGACUGAGACACGGCCCAGACUCCUACGGGAGGCAGCAGUGGGGAAUAUUGGACAAUGGGCGAAAGCCUGAUCCAGCAAUGCCGCGUGAGUGAUGAAGGCCUUAGGGUUGUAAAGCUCUUUUACCCGGGAUGAUAAUGACAGUACCGGGAGAAUAAGCUCCGGCUAACUCCGUG